rnacentral:misc_RNA from 1 species
AGGACCAGGAAUGCCCCCUGUACCAGG